UACGUAGGCAGCGAGCGUUGUUCGGAGUUACUGGGCGUAAAGCGUGCGUAGGCGGUUGUCCAAGUCUGGUGUGAAAUCUCCCGGCUUAACUGGGAGGGUGCGCCGGAAACUGGGCCGCUGGAGUACGGGAGAGGCAAGCGGAAUUCCAGGUGUAGCGGUGAAAUGCGUAGAUAUCUGGAGGAACACCCGUGGUGCAGACGGCUUGCUGGACCGUGACUGACGCUGAGGCACGAAAGCGUGGGUAGCAAACAGG
rnacentral:rRNA from 1 species